UCGGUCACUCCAACCCAUGUGAACGUUACCAAACUGUUGCCUCGGCGGGAUCUCUGCCCCGGGUGUGUGCAGCCCCGGACCAAGGCGCCCGCCGGAGGACCAACCAAAACUCUUAUUGUAUACCCCCUCGCGGGUUUUUUACUAUCUGAGCCAUCUCGGCGCCCCUCGUGGGCGUUUCGAAAAUGAAUCAAAACUUUCAACAACGGAUCUCUUGGUUCUGGCAUCGAUGAAGAACGCAGCGAAAUGCGAUAAGUAAUGUGAAUUGCAGAAUUCAGUGAAUCAUCGAAUCUUUGAACGCACAUUGCGCCCGCCAGUAUUCUGGCGGGCAUGCCUGUCCGAGCGUCAUUUCAACCCUCGAACCCCUCCGGGGGGUCGGCGUUGGGGAUCGGCCCUUUACGGGGCCGGCCCCGAAAUACUGUUUUUUGUCUCGCCGCAGCCUCUCCUGCGCAGUAGUUUGCACACUCGCAUCGGGAGCGCGGCGCGUCCACAGCCGUUAAACACCCCAAACUUCUGAAAUGUUGACCUCGGAUCAGGUAGGAAUACCCGCUGAACUUAAGCAUAUCAAUAAGCCGGAGGAA
rnacentral:rRNA from 1 species